UGGGGAAUUUUGGACAAUGGGCGCAAGCCUGAUCCAGCCAUACCGCGUGAGUGAAGAAGGCCUUCGGGUUGUAAAGCUCUUUCAGCCGGAAAGAAAUUGCUUCUAUUAAUACUAGGAGUAGAUGACGGUACCGGAAGAAGAAGCACCGGCUAACUACGUGCCAGCAGCCGCGGUAAUACGUAGGGUGCGAGCGUUAAUCGGAAUUACUGGGCGUAAAGCGUGCGCAGGCGGUUUGGUAAGACAGAUGUGAAAUCCCCGGGCUUAACCUGGGAACUGCAUUUGUGACUGCCAGACUAGAGUGUAGCAGAGGGGGGUAGAAUUCCACGUGUAGCAGUGAAAUGCGUAGAGAUGUGGAGGAAUACCGAUGGCGAAGGCAGCCCCCUGGGCUAACACUGACGCUCAUGCACGAAAGCGUGGGGAGCAAACAGG
rnacentral:rRNA from 1 species